rnacentral:rRNA from 1 species
ACUGCUCGUAACACGUGGAUAACCUGCCCUUGGGUCCGGCAUAACCCCGGGAAACUGGGGAUAAUUCCGGAUAACGCACAUAUGCUGGAAUGCUUUAUGCGUAAAAUGGAUUCGUCUGCCCAAGGAUGGGUCUGCGGCCUAUCAGGUAGUAGUGGGUGUAAUGUACCUACUAGCCAACAACGGGUACGGGUUGUGAGAGCAAGAGCCCGGAGAUGGAUUCUGAGACAUGAAUCCAGGCCCUACGGGGCGCAGCAGGCGCGAAAACUUUACAAUGCGGGAAACCGUGAUAAGGGGACACCGAGUGCCAGCAUCAUAUGCUGGCUGUCCAGGUGUGUAAAAUACACCUGUUAGCAAGGGCCGGGCAAGACCGGUGCCAGCCGCCGCGGUAACACCGGCGGCCCGAGUGGUGAUCGUGAUUAUUGGGUCUAAAGGGUCCGUAGCCGGUUUGGUCAGUCCUCCGGGAAAUCUGACGGCUUAACCGUUAGGCUUUCGGGGGAUACUGCCAGGCUUGGAACCGGGAGAGGUAAGAGGUACUACAGGGGUAGGAGUGAAAUCUUGUAAUCCCUGUGGGACCACCUGUGGCGAAGGCGUCUUACCAGAACGGGUUCGACGGUGAGGGACGAAAGCUGGGGGCACGAACCGGAUUAGAUACCCGGGUAGUCCCAGCCGUAAACGAUGCUCGCUAGGUGUCAGGCAUGGCGCGACCGUGUCUGGUGCCGCAGGGAAGCCGUGAAGCGAGCCACCUGGGAAGUACGGCCGCAAGGCUGAAACUUAAAGGAAUUGGCGGGGGAGCAC